rnacentral:lncRNA from 1 species
AAGAAAGAAAAAUCUAAAGGCUCAUGCUAUAAUUAUGGAAGAGUUGGUCAUUACAAGUCGAAUUAUCCAUUGCAUAAGAAAGAUAAAGGAAAGGGCCUAAAAGAAGUCUAGCAAGCCUAUAAAGGCAACACAAGUGAAAAUGAUGAAAUGGAAAAUCCUUGCCUCAUGGCCUAUCAUAAGAAGAAGAAUGUAAGUCAUUCUAAAUAUGAACAUAUUAAUAAAAU